rnacentral:snRNA from 1 species
GGGCUCCCCUUAGCACCAUAUAUGCUAAAAUGGCAAUAAUACCAAGAAGAGCAGCAAGGCCCCUGUGCAAAUGCGUGAAACAUUUCAUGUUUUU